GCCAGACUCCUACGGGAGGCAGCAGUGGGGGAUAUUGCACAAUGGGGGAAACCCUGAUGCAGCGACGCCGCGUGAGUGAAGAAGUAUUUCGGUAUGUAAAGCUCUAUCAGCAGGGAAGAAAAAAGACGGUACCUGACUAAGAAGCCCCGGCUAACUCCGUGCCAGCAGCCGCGGUAAUACGGAGGAUGCGAGCGUUAUCCGGAUUUAUUGGGUUUAAAGGGUGCGUAGGCGGAUCGUUAAGUCAGUGGUCAAUGGGGGGGCCUCACCCCUUGCCCGCCAUUGAAACUGGCGUUCUUGAGUGGAAGAGAAGUAUGCGGAAUGCGUGGUGUAGCGGUGAAAUGCAUAGAUAUCACGCAGAACCCCGAUUGCGAAGGCAGCAUGCCGGCUUCCGACUGACGCUGAAGCACGAAAGCGUGGGGAUCGAACAGGAUUAGAUACCCUAGUA
rnacentral:rRNA from 1 species